AGAUGACAGGCAGCUUACUAGGAGAUGUUUCCAUCUCCAGACACGUUGGGAGGAGAUGCUUCUCUUUUUGUACGUGGGGAGUUGACACAGGGAAUGUAAUCACCCGAGACCCCCAGAUGGCCGGUGGCAGAGCAGGGGUGAAGCCCAGCUUUGCCGAUCUCCAAAGCCCCAGGCCCGUGUCCUUCCGCCGACGCUUCCCACAACUUCAAUCGCUCAGUUACAAGUCCUCGUGUUACACCCGAGAUGCCACUGAGGAGUCACGUCGUUCAAGAGGAGGAAGAGAGUAACUUGCCGCUCUGAAGCACAUAUGUUUCAGGUCCAGCUGUAUUCUCCUGCCACAGAACCAGUCCACCUGAACAGCGCUUCGCUUCCACAAAAGUAUUUGCACACACGUACGUUUCUCCUAUCUCCAAGUAAACUUACCACUUCGUGACAGAUACUCUUACCAUGUUUGUAGUCAUCUUCAAAAAUUGCUUCUGAAAAGGAGUUGUUCUGUUCCUGUGUUAGCAAGAGAUCAAAGCCACUUACUGUUCAUUAAAUGAAGCUCAGUUGUUGCAUUUUGUUUGUUUAUUUUAGUUUAAUACUGUAGGACAUAUCUGAAAAAAAUCUACCUGACUAGCUAUUCAUAGGCGCAAAUGCUAGAUAAUGCAACACCUUAUGAACAAAAGAUUGAAAUAACUGAAAAAGCAGUCCAAACAUGCAAAUGUAAGUUAAAUCCCUUAUUGCCUUGCCUGCCAAGUCUAUGUCAGUAGCAUAAAUGAAGGUCCAGCAGAAGAAAGGCCAGAGAAUUUGUUUUUAUUAAAACUAUCAAUGUUUAACAGUAGACAUUGGGGGUUGAUGCUGAAUCACUGCACUGUAACAUCCUCUAACCUAUUCAGAAGGCAGGUCCUCCUACUAAUAUAUUAAAGAAGAGAGGUUGUGUUAUGUCUC